GACGGGGGGGGCAAGUGUUCUUCGGAAUGACUGGGCGUAAAGGGCACGUAGGCGGUGAAUCGGGUUGAAAGUGAAAGUCGCCAAAAAGUGGCGGAAUGCUCUCGAAACCAAUUCACUUGAGUGAGACAGAGGAGAGUGGAAUUUCGUGUGUAGGGGUGAAAUCCGUAAAUAUACGAAGGAACGCCAAAAGCGAAGGCAGCUCUCUGGGUCCCU
rnacentral:rRNA from 1 species